AUCAAAAUUAAAUGGUGGAUAAUUAAGGAAGUGUGUAGUGGAUGUGUUCCAUUACCAAACAAAUUUCUUUCUUAGUUUGUCCUCUCUUGGAGCCAGGCCCUUCCUUAGUUUUUCCUCUCUGGUGGACCACACGUUUGUUUGAGUUGAAAUCAUAUCAAUGGAUAUUUCAGUGAAAAUGCCUUCCCAGGGGUGGGACACCAGCUUCAUACCUAUAUUGAGUUAUUAAAAGGCACAAUGUUCGUGCUUUCACAUCCACCCACCAACAUGUGAAAGCGAUAACUUGGUCGAGAUCCGAUUCUCAUAACAAGAAUGUAACGAAAUCAAACACGCCUUUCAUUUGGAUCGGAUUCUGUAAAAAUUAAGGAAGGGUUUAGCCGGAAGGUUGCAAGAAAGAGAGAGUUGUUUUAUGAUCUCUCUCUCUCUCUCAUUUUUUGGGGUGGAUCUCAGGUGAAAAAAGGAGGACCCUGUAAUUGUGGUUCCCUUCUGGUAGGGUGGUGUGGCUUGAGGGGAAAGCUAAGGAGGUGAAACAGUGGCCUGAAAUUGUGACCUUGUCUUUCACAUUCUCUCAGCUGAAAUAGCUUCUCUCUUUCCAUCGAAUCCCUUGCCUUUCUCCUCAUUCAUGGCCCUGCUCUCACUAAACCAUCUGUUGCCUUUCUCCUCACCUAAAUUGCCAUUAAUGGACCUGACCUGCUUAAUCAUGUCUCAGAGAGAGGAAGAGGGCUUAAUGAUUGGGGCUACGACUCAUUCAGUUGCUUGCUCGAACUCAUGAUGCCAUCGAUUCGUUGAUGCAAGUCUCCGUGAUCACCAAAGAAGAGGGAUUACCAAAUCCACGUUAUUGAUCUUUACGUCUCGUGAAAGUUUUGAGCACUCGGUGCUCGUCGAGCUUGGGGAGAAAACAGAGCCCUGAUCCUGAUAAAAAUUCAGGAGAAAUGGGUUUUUAUGGCGAUGUUGCAAAGGGACAUUUCCCGAUUUAUCUUGGAGAGAAGCACACUCGCUUUGUGGUCCUCAGUUUAAGUCCCUCUUGUAAAGAGCAGAAGAAGCAUUUGGAUUUGACCAUGGGAAUCACCAUUCCUUGUGAGGAAAUGGUUUUGGAUUAUGAAGAUCAAAACCUCAAAUGUUGUGCCUUCCAACUGUCCAUGGAAAAACCAGAUUCAUUUUUUUUAUAUAUUAUUGUUUAUUCGGAUAAAGGAGAGAUCACAAUUAAACUUUCCGUUCAGCAAAUAAUAUAAGAGAGGGAGAAAGCUCUCGGGUUGGGUCU